rnacentral:rRNA from 1 species
CCUACGGGUGGCAGCAGUGGGGAAUAUUGCACAAUGGGGGAAACCCUGAUGCAGCAACGCCGCGUGAGCGAUGAAGGACUUCGGGUCGUAAAGCACUGUCCUAAGGGAAGAAUACUGACGGUACCUUAGGAGGAAGCCCCGGCUAACUACGUGCCAGCAACCGCGGUAAUACGUAGGGGGCUAGCGUUAUCCGGAAUUACUGGGCGUACAGGGUGCGUAGGCGGCCCUUCAAGUCAGAGGUGAAAGGCUCCGGCUCAACCGUAGUAAGCCUUUGAAACUGUAGGGCUUGUGUGCAGGAGAGGAGAGUGGAAUUCCCAGUGUAGCGGUGAAAUGCGUAGAUAUUGGGAGGAACACCAGUUGCGAAUGCGGCUCUCUGGACUGUAACAGACGCUGAGGCACUAAAGCUUGGGGAGCGGACAGGAUUAGAUACGCUAGUAGGC